UCUAAAAUCACCUCCAUAUAUCGAUUCCAGAUACCAACACAGACCUUAAUAUUAAAUUUAAGGAUUCUAUAUGGAUGAAAUCCUUAAAUUUAAUAUUAAGGUCUGUGUUGGUAUCUGGAAUCGAUAUAUGGAGGUGAUU
rnacentral:ncRNA from 1 species